rnacentral:rRNA from 1 species
GAUGAACGCUAGCGGCAGGCUUAACACAUGCAAGUCGAGGGGUAUUGGUUUUCGGACCAAGAGACCGGCGCACGGGUGCGUAACGCGUAUGCAAUCUACCUUUUGCAGAGGGAUAGCCCAGAGAAAUUUGGAUUAAUACCUCAUAGUAUAGUACCUUGGCAUCAAGGAGCUAUUAAAGUCACAACGGCAAAAGAUGAGCAUGCGUCCCAUUAGCUAGUUGGUAAGGUAACGGCUUACCAAGGCGACGAUGGGUAGGGGUCCUGAGAGGGAGAUCCCCCCACACUGGUACUGAGACACGGACCAGACUCCUACGGGAGGCAGCAGUGAGGAAUAUUGGACAAUGGGCGCAAGCCUGAUCCAGCCAUGCCGCGUGCAGGAUGACGGUCCUAUGGAUUGUAAACUGCUUUUAUACAGGAAGAAACACUGGUUCGUGAACCAGCUUGACGGUACUGUAAGAAUAAGGAUCGGCUAACUCCGUGCCAGCAGCCG